UACGGAGUGUGCAAGCGUUGUCCGGAUUUAUUGGGUUUAAAGGGUGCGUAGGCGGCAGAUUAAGUCAGCGGUGAAAUUCCACAGCUCAACUGUGGAACUGCCAUUGAUACUGGUUUGCUUGAGUACAGAUGAGGUAGGCGGAAUUGACAGUGUAGCGGUGAAAUGCUUAGAUAUUGUCAAGAACACCUAUUGCGAAGGCAGCUUACUAAGCUGUAACUGACGCUGAGGCACGAAAGCGUGGGGAUCAAACAGG
rnacentral:rRNA from 1 species